rnacentral:rRNA from 1 species
CCUACGGGUGGCUGCAGUGGGGGAUAUUGCACAAUGGGGGAAACCCUGAUGCAGCGACGCCGCGUGUGGGAAGACGGUCCUCUGGAUUGUAAACCCCUUUCCCCAGGGAGGAAGAUGACGUUACCUGGGCAGGCAGCCCCGGCAAACUACGUGCCAGCAGCCGCGGUAAUACGUAGGGAGCGCGCGUUGUCCGGAAUUACUGUGUGUAACGGGAGCGUAGGCGGUACUGCAAGUUGGGUGUAAACUCUAGGGGCUCAACCGGUAGCCGCAUUCGAAACUUGAUUUCUUGAGUGAAGUAGAGGCAGGCGGAAUUCCUGGUGUAGCGGUGAAAUGCGUAGAUAUUAGGAGGAACACCGGUGGCGAAGGCGGCCUGCUGGGCUUUUACUGACGCUGAGGCUCGAAAGUGUGGGGAGCAAACAGGAUUAGAUACCCUAGUAGUC